rnacentral:rRNA from 1 species
AUUGAACGCUGGCGGCAGGCUUAAUACAUGCAAGUCGAGGGGCAGCAUGAUUGUAGCAAUACAAUUGAUGGCGACCGGCAAACGGGUGCGGAACACGUACACAACCUUCCAAUAAGUGGGGAAUAGCCCAGAGAAAUUUGGAUUAAUACCCCGUAACAUAACGAUGUGGCGUCACAUUGUUAUUAUAGAUUUUUCGCUUAUUGAUGGGUGUGCGGCUGAUUAGAUAGUUGGCGGGGUAACGGCCCACCAAGUCUACGAUCAGUAGCUGAUGUGAGAGCAUGAUCAGCCACACGGGCACUGAGACACCGGCCCGACUCCUACGGGAGGCAGCAGUAAGGAAUAUUGGACAAUGGACGCAAGUCUGAUCCAGCCAUGCCGCGUGAAGGAUUAAGGUCCUCUGGAUUGUAAACUUCUUUUAUAAGGGACGAAAAAAGGCUUUUCUAAGUCGUCUGACGGUACCUUAUGAAUAAGCACCGGCUAACUCCGUGCCAGCAGCCGCCGUAACAC